rnacentral:pre_miRNA from 9 species
UCUCGAUGGCGUAAACGUUAAUUCAAAUUUGUAUGGAGUUGGAACGUUUGUUUGCGUACGUUUACCGCUAGGGGCGCUGUUCCAACUCCAUACAAAUAUGAAGUACCGUUUACGCUAUCGA